GUACUGAUGAAGAGUCCCAAACUAGGAAAAAAAAACUAGGACGAAACGGCUGUCCAGUAC
rnacentral:hammerhead_ribozyme from 1 species